GGCUUUUGAGGUCUAUUGCAUUUGGGGGUAACAGCCACAGCUUCACUGCUGUAGGGACUGUGACCUGGGGAUAUUUCAGGGUUGUUUUCUGUUGGUUUUGACCUUUUCCAGACACAAAAAGAAAAAAUGAAGAUGUGUAAGACAAUAUCUGUUUUCAUUCUGAUGUUUACAGGAUAUCUUUGUAACGGUGAUGAACUCACAACAUCAGAGAUGGUGCCCACAAAAGGUUUAUCACCUCCUUUAGAAGAUCAUGAUGAAGCUUCCAAACACAAUUUGGAAUGGGAAACAAAACCUGACUACGAUUACCAGGAUUCUCCUCCAGGUACUACUCAAGUGGUGAACACAGAAGAAAGGCAAAAAGAAGGAGGAAACUUGGGAGCAACAGCAGCAGGACACCUGUCAAGUGUGGUAGUGGCAGGAGUCAGCAUUUCCCUUGUGGUCCUUUUUAUUAUUAUAACUACUGUUUUCUGGUAUGCACAGAAAAAAUCAAAGGAAAGCUCGGCUGAAAUUAAUUCUGUCCUCUACACUGAGCCUGGAGUGUCUUUAAAAAAUAUUUCAGUGAAUGAGAACCAUCCCGAGUGGCCUUUUGAAAGAGCAUUACACUGACAGCAGGAGAGCUUGGAUGACCCUUCGGACUGUGCACCUGGAUGGCAGAGCUGUGUACCAUGGCACUUUGAGCCAGUCAUUUUCCCCUUUUCAGUGAGCAUUUCAAAUCAUUCCCCAAUAAUUUGGAAUCUGAGUUAACAAGAAAAUCCUGUUAUCCAAAGAAUCUCAGUCGAUGCUAUUAAGAAGUGGCAUGCAUUGCCCAUAGUGUAACAAGAGAAAGGCCAAACUCAAUAACUGGUAUUUAGGGCCUUUGCUGUAUGUUUAUCUGUUAUAUAUUGUAGUGAGGUGUUUUUCCAUUUUAUUUCAUGCUUGUCAUGUUUUAUCUCUUUUUCUCUUAUUUAAUAUUUUUCAUGUUUUACUUUUUUUACGUUCUUUUCAGGAGAAAAUAAGAAAGAAAAAUCCUCCCUAUUGUAGCUAUUUUAACAGCACUCUCAGAAAAGCUGUAUCUUCAAAAAAGUUACAUUCUUGAAAUUAUGAAGACCCUAAUUAGAGAAAAUGCCACACUUAGACUAUGUCUGUUCUAAUAAAUUAAACCUGCACAGGAACA
rnacentral:lncRNA from 1 species